rnacentral:rRNA from 1 species
CCUACGGGAGGCAGCAGUGGGGAAUAUUGCACAAUGGGCGAAAGCCUGAUGCAGCGACGCCGCGUGAGGGAUGACGGCCUUCGGGUUGUAAACCUCUUUCAGCAGGGAAGAAGCGAAAGUGACGGUACCUGCAGAAGAAGCGCCGGCUAACUACGUGCCAGCAGCCGCGGUAAUACGUAGGGCGCAAGCGUUGUCCGGAAUUAUUGGGCGUAAAGAGCUCGUAGGCGGUCUGUCACGUCGGAUGUGAAAGCCCGGGGCUUAACCCCGGGUCUGCAUUCGAUACGGGCAGACUAGAGUGUGGUAGGGGAGAUCGGAAUUCCUGGUGUAGCGGUGAAAUGCGCAGAUAUCAGGAGGAACACCGGUGGCGAAGGCGGAUCUCUGGGCCAUUACUGACGCUGAGGAGCGAAAGCGUGGGGAGCGAACAGGAUUAGAUACCCUGGUAGUCCACGCCGUAAACGGUGGGAACUAGGUGUUGGCGACAUUCCACGUCGUCGGUGCCGCAGCUAACGCAUUAAGUUCCCCGCCUGGGGAGUACGGCCGCAAGGCUAAAACUCAAAGGAAUUGACGGGGGCCCGCACAAGCAGCGGAGCAUGUGGCAUAAUUCGACGCAACGCGAAGAACCUUACCAAGGCUUGACAUCGCCCGGAAAGCAUCAGAGAUGGUGCCCCCCUUGUGGUCGGGUGACAGGUGGUGCAUGGCUGUCGUCAGCUCGUGUCGUGAGAUGUUGGGUUAAGUCCCGCAACGAGCGCAACCCUUGUUCUGUGUUGCCAGCACGUCUCUUUGGGGACUCACAGGAGACUGCCGGGGUCAACUCGGAGGAAGGUGGGGACGACGUCAAGUCAUCAUGCCCCUUAUGUCUUGGGCUGCACACGUGCUACAAUGGCAGUACAAUGAGCUGCGAUGUCGCAAGGCGGAGCGAAUCUCAAAAGCCUGUCUCAGUCGGAUUGGGGUCUGCACUCGACCCCAUGAAGUCGGAGUUGCUAGUAUCCCAGAUCAGCA